rnacentral:sRNA from 1 species
UUGACAGUGCUGGAAAUUGAAGUUCCUUUUUUAUCUACAGAACAGGUACAGCAUGUACAGAGGCAACAUAAACCCAGGCAGGCUGCUGAUGUGUCUUAGCUCUGUCCUGGGCUUAGAAACAUGAAGGGAAGAGGGAAUAAGCUGCUCCUCAUGGCCCUGUGAGGUUGUGUCGCUGCU